rnacentral:rRNA from 1 species
GAUGAACGCUAGCGGCAGGCUUAACACAUGCAAGUCGAGGGGCAGCAUGAGACGGAGAUUCGUCGAAGUCUUGAUGGCGACCGGCGCAAGGGUGCGUGACGCGUAUCCAACCUUCCCGUUACUCUCGGAUAGCCUUCCGAAAGGGAGAUUAAUACGAGAUGGCGUUGAAAUUCCGCAUGUUAUUUCAACUAAAGAUUCAUCGGUAACGGAUGGGGAUGCGUGACAUUAGGUAGAUGGCGGGGUAACGGCCCACCAUGCCCACGAUGUCUAGGGGUUCUGAGAGGAAGGUCCCCCACACUGGAACUGAGACACGGUCCAGACUCCUACGGGAGGCAGCAGUGAGGAAUAUUGGUCAAUGGCCGGAAGGCUGAACCAGCCAAGUAGCGUGAAGGAUGAAGGUUCUAUGGAUUGUAAACUUCUUUUAUACGGGAAUAAAACCACCUACGUGUAGGUGCUUGUAUGUACCGUAUGAAUAAGCAUCGGCUAACUCCGUGCCAGCAGCCGCGGUAAUAC